rnacentral:rRNA from 1 species
UACAGAGGGUGCGAGCGUUGUUCGGAAUUAUUGGGCGUAAAGGGCUCGUAGGCGGUCUGUUGCGUCGGGAGUGAAAACUUACAGCUUAACUGUGAGCGUGCUUCCGAUACGGGCAGACUUGAGGUAUUCAGGGGAGAACGGAAUUCCUGGUGUAGCGGUGAAAUGCGCAGAUAUCAGGAGGAACACCGGUGGCGAAGGCGGUUCUCUGGGAAUAUCCUGACGCUGAGGAGCGAAAGUGUGGGGAGCGAACAGG